AACUUAGUGAAAAUUGGCAAAUUCUUAACAGACGUUUACAGCAAAAUGCAGCUGUUCACGUGCAUGAUAUUUGCACAUGCUUUUCUGCAAAUUGAUGCAUGAUCCUCGUGCAAUUCAUCCGCAUAAAGUUUGCAGUUGGUUCACCCAAGUUAAUGGAGAAAUCAAUUGUCAAUGUAACCAUAUAUUUAUACAUAACAUAUAAUGAGUGUUUCAGGUGAGUCUAAACUUUU